rnacentral:rRNA from 1 species
UACGUAGGGUGCGGGCGUUAUCCGGAAUUAUUGGGCGUAAAGAGCUCGUAGGCGGUUUGUCGCGUCUGCCGUGAAAGUCCGGGGCUUAACUCCGGAUCUGCGGUGGGUACGGGCAGACUAGAGUGCAGUAGGGGAGACUGGAAUUCCUGGUGUAGCGGUGGAAUGCGCAGAUAUCAGGAGGAACACCGAUGGCGAAGGCAGGUCUCUGGGCUGUAACUGACGCUGAGGAGCGAAAGCAUGGGGAGCGAACAGGAUUAGAUACCCGAGUAGU